UCGGUUUUGGGCAAUCGGUAGAGCGCGUGCUUGGUAAGCACGAGGUCGUGGGUUCAAUUCCCACCUGGG
rnacentral:tRNA from 1 species